GAACCCUUGUGCACUGUUGAUGGGGAUGUAGAUUGGUGCAGCCACUGUGGGACAGUAUCGAGGUUCCUCAAAAAAUCAGAAAUACUAAAUUAUCCAGUAAUUCUAGUACCGGCUAUUUACCCAAAGAAAAUAAAUACUAAUCUUAAAAAAUACAUGCACUCCUAUGUUUACUGCAGCAUUAUUUACAGUACCAAGAUACGGAAGCAAUCUAAGUUCAAUGGAUCAACGGAUGGAGAUGAUGUGGCAUAUCAGGCUGGAGGGAAGAGGGCUUGGGAGACAAGUUGAUCAAAGCAGCACAAAGGAAGUAGAUGGGAGCAAAGCUGAACUGGAGUGAAGAAAUGACACCAGAUGGUAACCUGAAUUCACAGGAACUAAUGAAAAGAACCAGAAAAGCCUGGCAGAGAGAACAUCCAACUGGACGUGGAGUGGCUCUUACACGAGGAUUUGUGGCAAAUGGUGUCUACAGCAAACAAGGUUUAGGUAUCCCAUAAGAGAGACCUAAGAUUCUAGAUCACUCCUGAUAGAAUACCUACCAAGGAACUUUUUCUUUUCCUCCAAAGUCAAUUUGUGUAAAGCCUUCCAAAACAUCACUAUGGUGGGAUGUGAAUUAUCAUAUCCCUCUUCAUAAUGUGCAUUCUAGAAAAAAAAAAUACACACAAAAAAACCCAUAUUCAGGAAAUAAUAAACAAGAAAUUCAAAUUCAAACUUCUAGGCCUUUACAAUAUACCUUCUCAAAGGUUUCCCAGUCAUAAUCUGUAUUUCCAAUAAUCACAUCCUUUAGUUCUUCCGGAUGGAAAAACUCAAUAAUAUCCUUGUCACACACUUUGUAAAAUCCUCUUUGGAAUUCUUCGUAGAGUGUCUUCACAGAGAUGUUGAAGAUGUAAUUGACAUAUUUAGAAACAUAGUCUCUCCUUUAAUGAAACAAAAAAUCAUUUCAGCUUACUGUAGUACCCUGAAGGAAACUGGCAAGGGGCAGGGAAGAUGGGCAGAAAGCCAAAAAUAGAAUGAGAACUAAAACACCUAACAAUUCAGUGCCAAAAAAUAGCCAUAUGCACUUGACCAUUUUUCAUAUAUCUAACUUAAUCGUCAUACAACUCUCAGGGCAGAUUCUUAGGACAUGUUAGUAAAGAAAAGAAGUUUCUUGGUGAAGUUAUAUAAUAACUCAAGGUCACACAGUUAAAUGAAAGGACACAGAUUAGAACAGAGAAAGUGUGGAAGUGUAAAACCUGACCUGCUGAUAGUGCUCUGGGAAACAGGCUUGGGAGAUGGGAAAAAUUUCCCAUUUUAUUUUAUGGUCUUCCAUACUGUCUGAAUGUAUGACAGUAGUUAAUAUUAGUAUUUGUGGUUAAGCACAAAUACAGAAGGGAUUUCUACAUCUAGCUAUGAUGGGAUAGCAUUCCCCAAAUACUCCCAACGAGAAGAACUAGAAAAAGCCAGAGAGUAUACAAAAACACAUCUAGCUCUAGGCUUCCAAACCUAAGAUGCAAGAGGCCUCUGAAGUAUUAAGAGAGAGGGGAAGCCCUGCAAAGUGAGCCCAGCAUUUUACUUGCGGUUUUUCCCUCUGGGCCAUUUGCUGAUUCAGGGAAAGUGACUAGGCUAAAAGUAGUUGUGAAGAGGCAGAGAACCUCAGUAUGUCUAUCAGUGAUAAUAUAGUGAAUUAGAAUAUUCAUAAAAUAUACUACAGAACUGGAAAUAUUCUAUUUCUUGAUCUGUAUACUAAUUUGUAUACUUUUCUGUAUGUCAGACUUCGAAGUCCUUUUUUAAAAAUAAAGAUGAAAAGAUGGAAGAAAAAUAGCUGGCUGGCUUACACCAGAAUGCGCAUCUGGUGGUAUCUCUCUGCCACUCCGACCGACUAUCAGUGGAAUGUUCUCUCAUCCCACACUGUGGCUUUAAAACAGAAUCCUGUAAGGGGCUGAGAACUCAAGACACCACAGUACCAUGUUGUAACAUUAUAAAUACUAAGUGCCUGCCACAGACCAGUGGCUCUUCUAGGUACUAGAUGCACCAUGAUGAACAUGACUAGUCCUUGCCAUCAAGCAGCUCACUAUAGGAGCUUAUUCUGCAGUAGCUUAUUUAUUAUUGGGGAAAUACAGGCAAGCAGCAAUCCUAAAGGUAUGUAAUGGGUGAUAUGAAAAGAAACAGUGAAACAGGUAAGGAGAUAGAGACAGAAGUUAGUGGUAUAAACCUAGACAGGACAAUAAGGGAAGGCCUCUCUGCGAAAGCUAUUUCCUUCCCUACCAGAAUAUAAACUCCAGGAGACACACACAUACACAUAAUAUACACCACCUCGCUGUCUUAUUAAAAAGUGAUUAAUUGGUAAGAACUCUAAUACAUUUUUAGAGCCCAGUGAAAUAAACAGUGUAUAAACAAAACAAAUAUUUCACUUCUCUGUACAUACUUGUUAGUCUGGUCAACAAUGACACAACUUCCAUUAGGAAUUAGGUCUGUAUCAUUUUUGUCCCAAUGCACCUGUAACCACAAAUAAACUCAGAUAGUGUCUCCAAAAACAAUCCGAAGCAAUUAUCAACAAAAACACCUUAAAGCAUACCGUUUUUCUCAAGAUCUUAUAAAAGUACGCAUUUUUGUCAUACAAACAAGGAAUGUGCAUGUAAAAAGUUACUAUCUUAUCAUGCAGAAUGAAAAAUUAAUUUUUACAAAACUUGAAUUAUUUAUCAUACUGAAAAAAUUGGGCAAAUGCCACAUUUCAAUAAUCAGACAUAGUAUGGUGGAUUAGACAUAGUAAUUAGACAUAGUAUGGUGGAUUUGCAAAAACAGUCACAACUUCUUCCCAGCCUGGUAUUCAAGCCCCUGUGCAGUGUGACUUUGCAAUAGCUGUGCAACCCCCCAGCACCCCCACAAAAGGAGGACUUCGGUUCUUCAGCCUUGCAUAUGGCUGUGGCCAUGUGAGCUACUCUGGUCAAUAGGCUCUACUAUAAGUAAAAGCUUAAAAAGAAGCUUGUAUGUUGAGGCUUGCC